ACGAACGCUGGCGGCGCGCCUAACACAUGCAAGUCGAACGAGCGAGAGAGAGCUUGCUUUCUCGAGCGAGUGGCGAACGGGUGAGUAACGCGUGAGAAACCUGCCUCAAAGAGGGGGACAACAGUUGGAAACGACUGCUAAUACCGCAUAAGCCCACAGGUCGGCAUCGACCAGAGGGAAAAGGAGCAAUCCGCUUUGAGAUGGCCUCGCGUCCGAUUAGCUAGUUGGGGAGGUAACGGCCCACCAAGGCGACGAUCGGUAGCCGGACUGAGAGGUUGAACGGCCACAUUGGGACUGAGACACGGCCCAGACUCCUACGGGAGGCAGCAGUGGGGAAUAUUGCACAAUGGGGGAAACCCUGAUGCAGCGACGCCGCGUGGAGGAAGAAGGUCUUCGGAUUGUAAACUCCUGUUGUUGAGGAAGAUAAUGACGGUACUCAACAAGGAAGUGACGGCUAACUACGUGCCAGCAGCCGCAGUAAAAC
rnacentral:rRNA from 1 species